GACGAAGGUGGCAAGCGUUGUUCGGAAUUACUGGGCUUAAAGCGCGCGUAGGCGGCUUUGCAAGCGGAAGUUGAAAGCCCUCGGCUCAACCGAGGAACUGGCUUCCGAACUGCAUUGCUUGAGUGCAGAAGGGGAGAGUGGAAUUCCUGGUGGAGCGGUGAAAUGCGUAGAUAUCAGGAGGAACGCCAGCGGCGAAAGCGGCUCUCUGGUCUGCUACUGACGCUGAGGUGCGAAAGCUGGGGGAGCAAACAGGAUUAGAUACCCCAGUA
rnacentral:rRNA from 1 species